GUUUUCAAGUUGGUCCAAAUCGGGGUCCAAAAUUAAACUUUGUUUGAUUUCAUCAAAAAUUGAAUAAAUGGGGUUCUUUGAUAUACCAAAUCUAACUGUGUAAUGUAGAUUCUUCAUUUUUGGUCCUGUUUUCUAAUUGGUCUACACUAAAGUCCAAAGGGUCCAAAAUUAAACUUAGUCUGAUUUUAACAAAAAUUGAAAUCUUGGGGUUCUUUGAUAUGCUGAAUCCAAAAAUGUACUUAGAUUUUUUAUUAUGGGCCCAGUUUUCAAGUUGGUCCAAAUCAGGAUCUAAAAUUAUUAUAUUAAGUAUUGUGCAACAGCAAGUCUUUUCAAUUGCACAGUAUUGGGCAAUG
rnacentral:lncRNA from 1 species